AUUGCCCUAGUAACGGCGAGUGAAGCGGCAACAGCUCAAAUUUGAAAUCUGGCCCUAGCGGUCCGAGUUGUAAUUUGUAGAGGAUGCUUUUGGUUAGGUGCCUUCUGAGUUCCCUGGAACGGGACGCCAGAGAGGGUGAGAGCCCCGUACGGUUGGACACCGAGCCUCUAUAUAGCUCCUUCGACGAGUCGAGUAGUUUGGGAAUGCUGCUCUAAAUGGGAGGUAAAUUUCUUCUAAAGCUAAAUACCGGCCAGAGACCGAUAGCGCACAAGUAGAGUGAUCGAAAGAUGAAAAGUACUUUGAAAAGAGGGUUAAAUAGCACGUGAAAUUGUUGAAAGGGAAGCGUUUGCGACCAGACUUUUUCCAGGCGGAUCAUCCGGUGUUCUCACCGGUGCACUUCGCCUGGUUUAGGCCAGCAUCGGUUCUCUUAGGGGGAUAAAGGCCUGGGGAACGUAGCUCCUUCGGGAGUGUUAUAGCCCCUUGCGUAAUACCCUUCGGGGGACCGAGGAACGCGCAUCUGCAAGGAUGCUGGCGUAAUGGUCGUCAACGACCCGUCUUGAAACACGGACCAAGGAGUCGAACAUUUGUGCGAGUGUUUGGGUGUUAAACCCUCACGCGUAAUGAAAGUGAACGGAGGUGAGAGCCCUUCGGGGUGCAUCAUCGACCGAUCCUGAUGUCUUCGGAUGGAUUUGAGUAAGAGCAUAACUGUUCGGACCCGAAAGAUGGUGAACUAUGCGUGGAUAGGGUGAAGCCAGAGGAAACUCUGGUGGAGGCUCGCAGCGGUUCUGACGUGCAAAUCGAUCGUCAAAUCUGCGCAUGGGGGCGAAAGACUUAUCGAACCAUCUAGUAGCUGGUUACCGCCGA
rnacentral:rRNA from 1 species